AUUCUGCCCAUGCGGGGAAGGACGAGAAGCUUCGACCAAGGUUCGACUUGAGCGCCAGCGAGAGAGCGUUGCCGCAGGCAACGACCCGAAGGGCGAAGCGCGCAGCGCUGAGUAAUCCUUCCCCCACCACCA
rnacentral:sRNA from 1 species